CAGAUGCGCAACUCCUCGAAACUUACGUUUGUCCUUGAAAUCCUGCGAGUAGCUGCAACAGAGACCGUUUGGAUUUGUUAUUUUCUUUUCUUAUUUUACACACACAGAAAUAUUCCGGGUUUCAGUGAAGGACCUAUCGACUGAUGGAUGUACGUUUGGAUGUAUUAGUGGGCCUGCUGUUUGGAGAGGGGCCCACUUAUCCUGUGAAGGGAGACAGAUCCAUCUGGCGAGGAGAGGGAAAGAGAGGUGAAGUGCCCUUUGACCUUUUGAAGGAGAGGGAAGCAGCUCCAUAUCUCAUGCUCAUCGGACAGCCUUGUUUGAUCUGGACUCACCUCAGUUCACACGUCUCAGCUUCUGGCCCCAACUUACAAGAGAGCUACACAGAAACUAUUGUGUGUUAAAGAACGUGGGUGUCGGCAUUCUUCUAAAAAAACCCACUCCUUCCAACACAUUUGAAAAACCUUCAUCGUUUCUCAUGAGCUGAACAUGGGAACUUGUCAAGGAUGUAUCUUUACGCGUGUUUUUAAAUGUAAUAAUUCAGUGUUAAAUGUAAUACUUCUAUGUUGAUUUAUUGAUAAUAAUAAUUUAAACCGUUCUGUUUAUUGCUUUAAUUCGGAUAAAAUGAAUAUGUGAGUAUCAGUCUGUAUUUUAUUGCUUUAAAUUAACAGCAUUUAUUAUUGCAAA